AGGAUGAACGCUGGCGGUGUGCUUAAUACAUGCAAGUCGAGCGGUAAGGUCUCUUCGGAGAUACACGAGCGGCGGACGGCUGAGUAACACGUAGGAAUCUACCCUAAACUGAGGGAUGAGCACCAGAAAUGGUGUCUAAUACCGCAUACGCUCUUCGGAGUAAAGCUACGGCGGUUUAGGAAGAGCCUGCGUCCGAUUAGCUUGUUGGUAAGGUAAUGGCUUACCAAGGCGACGAUCGGUAGCUGGUCUGAGAGGAUGACCAGCCAGACUGGGACUGAGAACGGCCCAGACUCCUACGGGAGGCAGCAGUAGGGAUUUUCCACAAUGGGC
rnacentral:rRNA from 1 species